CUCCCUCCCUUACGAGGCAGCGGCAUCGUCCUCCCCCCUUCUCCGCCACCUCCUCCUCCGGCGCGCAGCCCGCGACUCUGGCAUCCCCAACGCACUUUCUCUCCUCGAUCCGCUCGCUCUCUUCCCCCCGCCGCUCCUCCUUCUCCAGUAAAAAAUAAAUGAGAAGGGACGGCGGGUAUGCCUGGUCUUUUUUUCUCUUUCUUUCUUUUUUUUUUUUCUCUCUCUGUCCUCUGGAGUUGGUGAGAGGAUCACAUGAGGAGCAGGCACAGAGAACCAGGACCCUCAGAAGUCGGAGGAGGCAUCGGACACAUAUAUCUGCCAAUGGUCACCAUCACCCAAGGUUUCUCUCAAGGAAAAGAGGAAGGAAAUUUACUUUCCAAGCUGCUGUCCAGCUGCUCAUUUAGCCCUGACAACCCACUGAAGACACUGAAGAACGCCCAGCUAAAGUGGUUAAACGCCUGGAAAUGCAAGUGGAGGAGAAGUUCCUCCCCUCCAUUUUCAUUACUUGCAGCAGAUGACGUCAGUCUUCUACGACCUGUGCUAUGCAGGUUGAGGCUUCGUGUCUUCCCCACAGAGAAGGUGGCACAGCACGGAAAGAGGAAGAUAUGGUGUGUGGCACUUCUACAAAUCAACCUGCUAUGUGUUCAGAGCCUGGUCCAAGCCUUGGGCAAUUGUUGCCGCUUUUGAAGACUCCUGAAGCAUGGAAACUGGCAUCCACCAGACUGAGAGACAGCUAAGCAUAUGAACUUUGAGCAUUUCAGUAAUCUUGAUACCUUCUAAAGAGAACAGAAAUAUUGAUUCCCCCAUCUAACUUCCCCUCAGUAACGACAUAGUUACCUAUACUAACACACAAAUGUUCCCUUUGGCUUGAGGACAACAAGAAAGAGCUAAGGAUAAUACCAUAUGGCCAUCUUUAACUUUAGAGGUAAUAAAAUAUUUCUCUGGAGUGCUCGAUCUGAUGCA
rnacentral:lncRNA from 1 species